GGUUUUUAUAGAGAAAAAAAGAAGGAAUGAAGACAUGGGAUGGUUGGUGGCAACGAACAUUAAUACGCAUUACAUGGAAGUUUAAUUGAAGAAGUUUGCAGAAGAUGCGUGGACUCGUGUUUUUACUCACGUGGAACAGUUGUGGAACCUCAAGUUCAAGAAUUCACAUAGGUGCUGGAUAGUAGAGAAGGUAGAAAAGCUUGAAGCUCGGAGUUGGUUCGCAUCACCAUUUCUUUUCUUCUUCUUCUUCUUCUUCUUCAAUCUCAGAAUAGCUCGGAGUUCAUCGUUCACUCUGUUUUGAGUUUGGACUGUGAUGAUCAUACGAUGUAUGUGAGCAGGGCAGUGAUAAGCUGGGAGAUAAUUACUAGAGACCAUAGGAGGUGCCUGAAGUGGAUGUUUCUUUUAUAGGCUACCUUAUAGUAGCAUAUUUUGUUGUAUAUAGUUGACUGUUUGUUGGUUGUUUGCUUAACAAUUUGUGUUGUAAAUAUUUUUAUUAUACUAUUUUAGUAUAUAUUUCAAUAGUGUGUUGUAUUGUUCCAUAGUGUGACGAUCAUGAC